rnacentral:rRNA from 1 species
CACGGGGGGAGCAAGCGUUGUUCGGAAUCACUGGGCGUAAAGGGUGUCUAGGCGGUCAGGUAAGUGAGAUGUGAAAUGCCCCGGCUUACCCGGGGACCUGCAUCUCAUACUGCCUGGCUUGAGUAUGGGAGAGGAUGAGGGAAUUCCUGGUGUAGCGGUGAAAUGCGUAGAUAUCAGGAGGAACACCGGUGGCGAAAGCGCUCAUCUGGCCCAAUACUGACGCUGAAGCACGAAAGCUAGGGGAGCAAACAGG